UGGGGAAUAUUGGACAAUGGGCGCAAGCCUGAUCCAGCCAUGCCGCGUGAGUGACGAAGGCCUUAGGGUUGUAAAGCUCUUUUGGCGGGGAAGAUAAUGACGGUACCCGCAGAAUAAGCUCCGGCUAACUUCGUGCCAGCAGCCGCGGUAAUACGAAGGGAGCUAGCGUUGUUCGGAAUCACUGGGCGUAAAGUGCACGUAGGCGGAUGUGUCAGUCAGGGGUGAAAUCCCGGAGCUCAACUUCGGAACUGCCCUUGAUACAGCACGUCUUGAGUCCGAUAGAGGUGGGUGGAAUUCCUAGUGUAGAGGUGAAAUUCGUAGAUAUUAGGAAGAACACCGGUGGCGAAGGCGGCCCACUGGAUCGGUACUGACGCUGAGGUGCGAAAGCGUGGGGAGCAAACAGGAUUAGAUACCCUCGUAGUCCCUGAGCGGGCUGGCAAGGCGCAU
rnacentral:rRNA from 1 species